UAGCGAUUGCAGAGCGGCGGUUCUAUGCCCAGCGCUAGAUUCUGAAAAGUCUUCUCACCCUGGAAUUACUCAAUGCUGAAAAUAUUCAAGAGAAUAUUAAAGAAUCUGCAAGCACAAUGGAUGGUUUCUAUGAUCAGCAAGUACCCUUCAUGGUCCCUGGGAAACCUUGCACUGAAGAGUGUCGAGGGAGGCCAGUAAAUGAUAGGAAACGGAAGUUUCAGGACACUGACCUGGCCCAUGAUUCUGAAGAAUUGUUUCAGGACCUUAGCCAGCUGCAAGAGGCUUGGUUAGCUGAAG